rnacentral:sRNA from 1 species
GAAAACUAUGCUCUGGUUUUUCUUCAUAACAAAUAAAUCUUUUGCCUUUUACUAAAAAAGGAAAAUGGAAACUGAUUAUAUUAAACAGAGAGUUUUGUAUCCUGCUUUCUCUUCCCUUAACCUUUCCCCGUGUCAUUAAAUCCACUCCGAAAACAUGGAUUUUAAUUACCGCCUAGUGUUCGCUGAAUGCAACCAUGCCCUCUUUGUUAGAUACACUUGGUUCUUUAUGCUUAAAAGCUCCUUGGAGGGUCACCGGUUGGAACAGCCAAGUGUUGUCAUUGCUGUGGGUUGGCAAAUGGGCCCUCGCUGACUAACCUCUGCCACGUUAACACGUGGUUUUUGGAUCCGUAGCACCCCGAGCAGAAGGCAGACCGGUAUUUUGUGUUAUACAAACCGCCCCCUAAAGACAACAUUCCCGCCCUAGUGGAGGAGUACCUGGAACGCGCCACCUUCGUAGCCAAUGACCUCGACUGGCUCCUGGCCUUGCCUCACGAUAAAUUCUGGUGCCAGGUGAUCUUUGACGAGACUCUACAGAAGUGCCUGGACUCCUACCU